rnacentral:misc_RNA from 1 species
ACACCUCACCCCCUCGGGUUUCCGAUCGGGUGGAUGUGGGCGCUGCCAGUCACAUGGCUCGCCUUAAAUGCAUUAGCGGUUGUUUGACGUGAUAAGUUUCGUCUUGUGCCGCUCACAAUCUCCCCCUGGGGAUGUCUGCAAAGACAAUUUUAUG